rnacentral:rRNA from 1 species
CUGGCUCAGGAUGAACGCUAGCGGCAGGCCUAACACAUGCAAGGUCGCGGGGCAGGCACGGGUAGCAAUACCUGGUGGCGACCGGCGCACGGGUGCGUAACGCGUAUGCAACCCUGCCCCCAGUCAGGGGGAACUAGCCCGCCGAAAGGCGGAUUAACUGCCCCCAUAGGGCCCCAGGGCGCCGCAUGGCGCUAUGGGUAAAGCUCCGGCGGGAUGGGGGAUGGGCAUGCGUGCCAUUAGCUAGUUGGGGCGGUAACGGCGCACCAAGGCGACGAUGGCUAGGGGGGUCUGAGAGGACUGGUCCCCCACACUGGUACUGAGACACGGACCAGACUCCUACGGGAGGCAGCAGUGAGGAAUAUUGGUCAAUGGGCGGAAGCCUGAACCAGCCAAUGCCGCGUGCAGGAUGACGGCCCUACGGGUUGUAAACUGCUUUUCCCCGGGAAGAAUAAGCCCCUCGUGAGGGGUGAUGCCGGUACCGGGGGAAUAAGGAUCGGCUAACUCCGUGCCAGCCGCCGC